rnacentral:misc_RNA from 1 species
AAAAAAAAAAAGAAGAAGAAGAGAAGAAAACCAGAACUUCAGCUCAAACUGACUCUAACAGAACUUUUGGUCUUAGCAGAGGUGAGUUUAGGAUCACUGGAAAACAAAACAGAAACCAAGAAUUCUAGUAUAUUUUCAGUUACAGAAAGGAGAUUUAGGAACAAAGCAACAAAUUUGCCCUUAAGAUUAUCCAAUCCAAUGAAUUCACCAAUGUACAAAAAGGAAGGACACAAAUUCCAUAGAUAUACUCACCAAUCCAACUCAUUGUUAUUUCCAACUAAAUGAGUCCAUCCAAACAUGCAUAAGUAUAUUGGAACACAUUUAAAAGAUGAGGCAAAAAAAAGAAAUAUAAAGAGCCAAAUAAAAUGGAUUUGUUUCCAAAAUCAGGAGGCUGUAAUGAUGAAUAAACCAAUUUCCAUUUUUGUUAGCAUAUAUUACCCGAAAUAAGGUAGCAAAGCAUAAUAAGAUAACAGACAACAUUCCAAUUUGAUGAUAUUUUAUGAAGGAAACUAAUAAAAUGAAAAGGGCAAACUUCACAAAUGUAGAUAUGCAAGCUCAUAUUUUCCAUCAAGAUCCAGAGAUGAAGAUUUGAUAUUUGGGGGGAAAAAGAAAAGAAAGAAAAUAUGAAAUUAUUGAGAAUGAAA